rnacentral:rRNA from 1 species
ACGAACGCUGGCGGCGUGCUUAACACAUGCAAGUCGAACGGAAAGGCCCUGCUUUUGUGGGGUGCUCGAGUGGCGAACGGGUGAGUAACACGUGAGUAACCUGCCCUUGACUUUGGGAUAACUUCAGGAAACUGGGGCUAAUACCGGAUAGGAGCUCCUGCUGCAUGGUGGGGGUUGGAAAGUUUCGGCGGUUGGGGAUGGACUCGCGGCUUAUCAGCUUGUUGGUGGGGUAGUGGCUUACCAAGGCUUUGACGGGUAGCCGGCCUGAGAGGGUGACCGGCCACAUUGGGACUGAGAUACGGCCCAGACUCCUACGGGAGGCAGCAGUGGGGAAUAUUGCACAAUGGGCGGAAGCCGGAUGCAGCAACGCCGCGUGCGGGAGGACGGCCUUCGGGUGGUAAACCGCUUUCGCCUGUGACGAAGCGUGAGUGACGGGAAUGGGUAAAGAAGCACCGGCUAACUACGU